AGAAGAAGAAAAGAAGAAGAAGAAGAAGAAGAAGAAGAAGAAGAAGAAGAAGAAGAAGAAGAAGAAGAAGAAGAAGAAGAAGAAGAAGAAGAAUUCCUUCCGGUUUACAGCCCGAAGAUGAGCAAAUCAAAACAGCAAGAUACACCCAAAUAACGGAAGGAUUGGAUCUCCCACCAGAACACCAGCCUUCACCUUGAGAACUGCAAACUCCUCCGAAAACAAUACCCAGAUUGGGAUGGUGAGAUAGCACUCAAGCCCAGGACUGCAGGUCAAGAUGCCAAGCCCUCGGCCUCAAC